GGGGAAUUUUCCGCAAUGGGCGAAAGCCUGACGGAGCAACGCCGCGUGAGGGAUGAAGGCCUCUGGGCUGUAAACCUCUUUUUUCAAGGAAGAAGAUCUGACGGUACUUGAAGAAUAAGCCACGGCUAAUUCCGUGCCAGCAGCCGCGGUAAUACGGGAGUGGCAAGCGUUAUCCGGAAUUAUUGGGCGUAAAGCGUCCGCAGGCGGCCUUGUAAGUCUGUUGUUAAAGCGUGGAGCUUAACUCCAUUUGAGCAAUGGAAACUGCAAGGCUUGAGUGUGGUAGGGGCAGAGGGAAUUCCCGGUGUAGCGGUGAAAUGCGUAGAUAUCGGGAAGAACACCAGUGGCGAAGGCGCUCUGCUGGGCCAUAACUGACGCUCAUGGACGAAAGCCAGGGGAGCGAAAGGGAUUAGAUACCCCUGUAGUCCUGGCCGUAAACGAUGAACACUAGGUGUCGGGGGAAUCGACCCCCUCGGUGUCGUAGCCAACGCGUUAAGUGUUCCGCCUGGGGAGUACGCACGCAAGUGUGAAACUCAAAGGAAUUGACGGGGGCCCGCACAAGCGGUGGAGUAUGUGGUUUAAUUCGAUGCAACGCGAAGAACCUUACCAGGGUUUGACAUCCUGCGAAUCCCUUGGAAACGAGGGAGUGCCUUCGGGAGCGCAGUGACAGGUGGUGCAUGGCUGUCGUCAGCUCGUGUCGUGAGAUGUUGGGUUAAGUCCCGCAACGAGCGCAACCCACGUCGUUAGUUGCCAGCAUUCAGUUGGGCACUCUAGCGAGACCGCCGGUGAUAAACCGGAGGAAGGUGUGGAUGACGUCAAGUCAUCAUGCCCCUUACAUCCUGGGCUACACACGUACUACAAUGCUACGGACAAAGGGCAGCAAACUCGCGAGAGCUAGCAAAUCCCAUAAACCGUGGCUCAGUUCAGAUCGUAGGCUGCAACUCGCCUACGUGAAGGAGGAAUCGCUAGUAAUUGCAGGUC
rnacentral:rRNA from 1 species